CCGCCUGCGGGGAGCGGCCCGUGUCAUCGGCCCCGGGAGCAGGGGCUGCACUGGGCGCCCGAGCGUGGCCAGCGUUUUAUUUCUCAUAUUGUUUGCAGGUGGUGACUCAGCUGAAUCAUUCAGCAAAUCAAGACCCAAUCACCACCCACCGUGAAGAGCGUUUAAAGCUGGGCUGCUCUCAGGAGGCCCCCGGACGCAGAAUCAGUUCCACUUGGCCGGGGUCGAAUCGGGAAGAUUGGAGAGCGGCCCUGAAGACGCGGUCCUCCUGGGGCCGGGCCUGCCCGGGACGGGGGCCGGGGGCUGCCCCGAGUUGGUCUGCCUGGCAUGGGUGGUAGCACCCCCCCCGGAGUCAUCCAACAGCCCCGUCCCUGGAUGGUGUUUUGAAAACAACUUUAUGAAUUAAGCAUCACGGAUACAGCGAAAGCCCCCGUGUCGCCUCCCUCCUGACUCUGCCCCAACCCCCAGGUUGUUUCCAGACCGUGAAAGCGGGCGGCAACCCGAUGCACAUCCCACCUCUGACUGGUUCCCACGUGCCCUCGAGGGGCUCUCGGGUGGAUCCAGAGGACGGAGCUGCUGGGGUUACGGGCGUCUGCAUCUGCAGCUCCAAACUUCUCCUGGUGGUCGAUGGUGGCGAUCAGGGCACAGGCCAGGGGCUCUCACACUGGGGUCCUCACCCCUCAGGGCUUCUGAGACCCUUCUAGGGGUCCCUGAGGUCAAAGCCAUCUUCGUAGUAGUGUGAGAUGUUCCAGCCUUUCUCAUCCUCUCACGAGUGCACCGUAGAAUUUUCCAGACCAGCGUGUGGUAAUGUCAUAGCUCUGAUGGC